UACGUAGGUGGCAAGCGUUAUCCGGAUUUACUGGGUGUAAAGGGCGUGUAGGCGGGAAAGCAAGCCAGAUGUGAAAGCCAUGGGCUCAACCUGUGGCCUGCAUUUGAAACUGUUUUUCUUGAGUACUGGAGAGGCAGACGGAAUUCCUAGUGUAGCGGUGAAAUGCGUAGAUAUUAGGAGGAACACCAGUGGCGAAGGCGGUCUGCUGGACAGCAACUGACGCUGAGGCGCGAAAGCGUGGGGAGCAAACAGG
rnacentral:rRNA from 1 species